UUUCAAAUUUAUUUCACUCUUUUUAUCUCCCUCUUUCUCUCCACGAAAAUCCUUUAAUUUGCAUAUCCCCACCCUUCAUCCGCGUCUGACUUUUCGUCGACUUCUACAGUCUCCCAUCCGCAUUUAGGACGGUGAUGGCGACCCACAACGAUUUGGUUAUGUAAAUCAAAAUAUCAGAUUUUCCAAACCAUUUCUUCUUUGGAACUUCCACAUCCUCUUUCCAGGGGGUUAUGUUGAAGAUGGAAGGGGAAAGGGUAAUUGAGAUGUUUUUUUUCUUCUCAUAUUCCAGAAAAAAAUAAGAACAAUAUGACACCGGAGAUGUGGUCGACAAUCCCUACCACCCAUGGGACUGAGAAUCUUAGAAAAGAAUUGAAGUGUAUGGGCGCACCAACAUUUCUAAGUGUUGACUUCCUCCUUUCAUUAUGUUUCAGUAUGUUACUUAAGGAGGUGGCUGCAUCUAUUGCGAAUAAGCUGGAGAAGGUCUAUUAUAAAUAGUGGUGGGGAUGAAGUGAGGAGAUUUGCACUUAAAGAAGCAAAACAAUCAAAGGAUGGAGGGACAAGGAAAUUGAAUCUUCCAAAUCUGAAGUUAUGGUUAUAUUCAUUGCAGCCUUAUGAUGUCUAGAAUAUUAAACCUAUUUAUCUUUUAUAGAUUUAAAGUAAUGCUAUCUCUUAUUUCUAACUUGAAUUAGAAAGCAAAAGAAGAGACUACAAGUGUUGUUUAACACCUUGAUGUGGAACCCUUCGAUCUAUGAUGCAAGGAAUGAUUUUGACUCAAGAAGAAAUGGAAGAAGUUGUUCUUAAAAGAUGUUGGCUUGCUUGCUACUGGGACCUAGCUGCAAAAUAUGCAAAAACAAAAUAUUGUUUGUAGAAUGAUUGAAGUCAUAUCGGGUUGAAAGCUAAGCGAUUGUGUAGAUAGCCAGAUGAUCGGGUAGAAAGAUAAGUGAUCAUUGAAGGUUGAAGACUUCGAAGACAUUUAUGAUUUCUUAUUUAAGUCUU